rnacentral:tRNA from 1 species
ACCUGGAUAGCUCAGUUGGUUAGAGCAUGGUGGUGAUAACGCCAGGGUUGCAGGUUCGAUCCCUGUAUGGGACA